rfam:Rachicladosporium sp. CCFEE 5018 unplaced genomic scaffold Supercontig_30, whole genome shotgun sequence.
GGACAGAUGGCCGAGCGGUUAAGGCGCUAGCUUAAGGUACCCCCUGGGUCUGUACGCUAGUUCGAAAGAGCGUGGGUUCGAUUCCCACUCUGUAUG